UGGGGAUAACGCAGCGAAAGCUGUGCUAAUACCGCAUACGAUCUGCGGAUGAAAGCGGGGACCUUCGGGCCUCGCGCGAUUGGAGCGGCCGAUGUCAGAUUAGGUAGUUGGUGGGGUAAAGGCCUACCAAGCCGACGAUCUGUAGCUGGUCUGAGAGGACGACCAGCCACACUGGGACUGAGACACGGCCCAGACUCCUACGGGAGGCAGCAGGUGGGAAUUUUGGACAAUGGGCGCAAGCCUGAUCCAGCAAUGCCGCGUGCAGGAAGAAGGCCUUCGGGUUAGUAAACUGUCUUUUGUACGGAACGAAAAGGCUCUGGUUAAUACCUGGGGCUCAUGACGGUACCGUAAGAAUAAGCACCGGCUAACUACGUG
rnacentral:rRNA from 1 species